AUUGAACGCUGGCGGCAUGCUUUACACAUGCAAGUCGAACGGUAACAGGCCGCAAGGUGCUGACGAGUGGCGAACGGGUGAGUAAUGCAUCGGAACGUGCCCAGUCGUGGGGGACAACGCAGCGAAAGCUGCGCUAAUACCGCAUACGAUCUAUGGAUGAAAGCGGGGGACCGUAAGGCCUCGCGCGAUUGGAGCGGCCGAUGUCAGAUUAGGUAGUUGGUGGGGUAAAGGCUCACCAAGCCAACGAUCUGUAGCUGGUCUGAGAGGACGACCAGCCACACUGGGACUGAGACACGGCCCAGACUCCUACGGGAGGCAGCAGUGGGGAAUUUUGGACAAGGGGCGCAAGCCUGAUCCAGCAAUGCCGCGUGCAGGAAGAAGGCCUUCGGGUCGUAAACUGCUUUUGUACGGAACGAAACGGUCCUGGUUAAUACCCGGGGCUAAUGACGGUACCGUAAGAAUAAGCACCGGCUAACUACGUGCCAGCCGCCGCCGUAA
rnacentral:rRNA from 1 species